rnacentral:lncRNA from 1 species
UGAAAUUUUAAAUCAUUUUUCACAAGAAAUGCAACAUUUUCCUUGUGCUGCCCUGCCAAGUGAGGUGGCUGCUUCUGCCUGGGGCUGUCAGUGUCCCAUGGACAUAAGGCACUGAAAUUAAGGGGCUCCUUUCUCCUCCCUCCUGGCAUUUUUCACAGCAGGUUUCUCAACCACAGCAGUGGUGACACUUGGAGCUCGAUUAUUCUUUGUGGCGGGGGCAGCCUUGCCGGAUGUUUAGCAGCACUCCUGGCAUCUACCCACUAGACGUCAUUAGCACCCACCCUCCCAGAUGUGACAAUCAGAAAUGUGUCCAGACAUAUCCAGAUGUCCCUUACGAGGAAGGCAGAAUCGCCCUGGCUUUACAGACUCCAGCUGCAACCCCUGCUGCAAGGGAUGGAGGAGUAACACCUGCUUUACACCUAAGCAAUACCGACACCUUCUGAUGCCCACUGAUUUGGGUGGGUGGUGGAGAGAGCAUGUUACCAAGGUGGGCCAUGAAAAACCUUCUUCAGAGAACGAAAAGAUGAAUUCUGCACUGGGAAGGAUGUUCACCAGGGCUUUCUGCUCUUGAUGAUAGCCACUGUUGUCCCGGGAUGGAGACUACGAGGAAGGGGUGAGUUUUUCUUUACUGAGAUGAAUAGUUUAGCAGGAAAGUGACCAUUUCCGAAAUCUCAAGGUAGUAGAGAUAAGAACCUACUCUCAAAGGGUGGUAAAAGGUUUGCAUGAGUUACAGACGUGUUCUGUAUAACCACAGGUUAUAUCUGAGUUCCUUAACCCUGUCUGCACAUUCGAGCCACCUAGGAAGCUUUUUUUUUUGAGCCCCUUCGCUUACCAGGCAGAUGUAAUUGGUUUGGGGUGGGGCCUCAGCAUUGAAUAGUUUAAAAGCUCCCCAGGUGAUUCUCACGUGUAGUCAAGGUUAAGAUUAAACCAGCAGUUCUCCGACUUUAGCAUGAAUCAAAUUCACCUGGAGGGCUUGUUAGAGCAACUGCUGGGCUCCACCCUAGAGUGUCUGAAGAGGCAGCAGGUUUCUGGAGGGGCCCGAGAAUUUGCAUUUCUGACACGUUCUGGGUUGACUCUGCCUUUCUGAGAACCGCUAGCUUUAACUAUGAUUGAUGAGUCAAGCAUUCGUUUAAAAAGUACACAGAUAUCUUCAUUUCUUUAAAUAUUGCUUUAAUUAACUACCACUAGUCACAGUAAUUCAUAAUUCUAGAAUCUUUUUUGCUUUAAUAAAAUGUUAUAAAAUGUUAUAUCUUCUACUUUG